rnacentral:rRNA from 1 species
AUACGGAGGGUGCAAGCGUUAUUCGGAAUCACUGGGCGUAAAGGACGCGGAGGCGGGUUGGCAAGUCAGAUGUGAAAUCCUACAGCUUAACUGUAGAACUGCAUUUGAAACUGCUAACCUAGAGUAUGGGAGGGGGAGAUGGAAUUAGUGGUGUAGGGGUAAAAUCCGUAGAUAUCACUAGGAAUACCGAAAGCGAAGGCGAUCUCCUGGAACAUAACUGACGCUAAGGCGUGAAAGCGUGGGGAGCAAACAGGAUUAGAAACCCUAGUAGUCC